rnacentral:rRNA from 1 species
CCUACGGGCGGCAGCAGUGGGGAAUAUUGGGCAAUGGGCGCAAGCCUGACCCAGCAACGCCGCGUGAAGGAAGAAGGCUUUCGGGUUGUAAACUUCUUUUAAGAGGGAAGAGCAGAAGACGGUACCUCUUGAAUAAGCCACGGCUAACUACGUGCCAGCAGCCGCGGUAAUACGUAGGUGGCAAGCGUUGUCCGGAUUUACUGGGUGUAAAGGGAGCGUAGACGGUGCGCCAAGUCUGGAGUGAAAUGCCGCAGCUUAACUGCGGAACUGCUUUGGAAACUGGCGAACUAGAGUGCGGGAGGGGUAAGCGGAAUUCCUAGUGUAGCGGUGAAAUGCGUAGAUAUCAGGAGGAACACCGGCGGCGAAGGCGGCUUACUGGACUGUAACUGACGUUGAGGCUCGAAGGCGUGGGGAGCAAACAGGAUUAGAUACCCCUGUAGUC